UUCUGGCUCAGGAUGAACGCUGGCGGCGUGCUUAACACAUGCAAGUCGAACGAAGCUCUUCAAACGGAGGAUUCGUCUGAAGUUGGAGAUGACUAGUGGCGGACGGGUGAGUAACGCGUGGGUAACCUGCCGUAUGCAGGGGGACAACAGUUGGAAACGACUGCUAAUACCGCAUAAGCGCACGGGGAGGCAUCUUCCAGUGUGAAAAGAUUUAUCGGCAUACGAUGGACCCGCGUCUGAUUAGGCAGUUGGCGAGGUAACGGCUCACCAAACCGACGAUCAGUAGCCGGCCUGAGAGGGUGAACGGCCACAUUGGGACUGAGACACGGCCCAAACUCCUACGGGAGGCAGCAGUGGGGAAUAUUGCACAAUGGGGGGAAACCCUGAUGCAGCGACGCCGCGUGAGUGAAGAAGUAUUUCGGUAUGUAAAGCCCUAUCAGCAGGGAAGAAAAUGACGGUACCUGACUAAGAAGCCCCGGCUAACUACGUGCCAGCCGCCGC
rnacentral:rRNA from 1 species